AUUGAACGCUGGCGGCAGGCCUAACACAUGCAAGUUGAGCGUGAAGUUUAUAUUGAUUCUUCGGAUGAUUUAUAAAUGGAAAGCAGCGGACGGGUGAGUAACGCGUGGAUAACCUGCCCUAUACUCCAGGAUAACAUACCGAAAGGUAUGCUAAUACUGGAUAAUAUACAUUAGUCGCAUGGCUUUUGUAUCAAAGAUUACGGUAUAGGAUGGAUCCGCGUUCCAUUAGCUAGUUGUGGGUAAGCUACAAGGCGACGAUGGAUAGCCGACCUGAGAGGGUGAUCGGCCACACUGGAACUGAGACACGGUCCAGACUCCUACGGGAGGCAGCAGUGGGGAAUAUUGCACAAUGGGCGAAGCCUGAUGCAGCAACGCCGCGUGAGCGAUGAAGGCCUUCG
rnacentral:rRNA from 1 species